rnacentral:rRNA from 1 species
GACGAACGCUGGCGGCGUGCUUAACACAUGCAAGUCGAACGGAAAGGCCCUGCUUUUGUGGGGUGCUCGAGUGGCGAACGGGUGAGUAACACGUGCGUAACCUGCCCUUGACUUUGGGAUAACUUCAGGUAACUGGGGCUAAUACCGGAUAGGAGCUCCUGCUGCAUGGUGGGGGUUGGAAAGUUUAGGCGGUUGGGGAUGGAUUCGCGGCUUAUCAGCUUGUUGGUGGGGUAGUGGCUUACCAAGGCUUUGACGGGUAGCCGGCCUGAGAGGGUGACCGGCCACAGUGGGACUGAGAUACGGGCCGGACUCCUACGGGAGGCAGCAGUGGGGAAUAAUGCACGAUGGACGGAAGCCUGAUGCAGCAACGCCGCGUGCGGGAUGACGGCCUGCGGGUGGUGAGCCGCUUUCGCCUGUGACGAAGCGUGAGUGACGGUAAUGGGUAAAGAAGCACCGGCUAACUACGUG